UUAAUUGAAGGAAAAUGCUGAAAGGAAAAACAAUGCAGCGUUUGAUUUUGCAUUGGUAACAUACAAAACCAUAUUGGAAAAAGAUUAUAUGGACAUUGGUUUUAAGGGCUUGCAUGAAAGAGCAAAACGUGAUGCAAUGACCAAGUAUACUGAAAAUGCUAAUAAAGG